GUGCUUGCUUCGGCAGCACAUACACUAAAACUGAAGCAAUACAGAGAAGGUUAGCAUGGCCCCUGCACAAGGAUGACAUGCAAAUUCGUGAAGCGUUCCAUAAAAAA